GUGGCGGUCGCGGCCGGUCUCGGUGACGCUCCGCUGUGGGCCGAGGAGCCGCGUGGGUUGCGGUUCCCGGGGGACGUUCCUUAAGCGUGCGCUUGGGCCCUUUGCGGCUCUGCACGAGGCGUUGCCCCGCGGCGGCUCAGGCCGCAGCAGAGCCCUGCCCUCAGCUCCGGGCCGGCCGCGGCUGUGUGGGCUGCGGCGCGGGAACGAGCCGCUCGCUGGUUCCGUGCGGCUGCAAAGCCUUCGUGAGCCUCUGCUGCUCCGUGUGUGCGCACGGGUCCGGCCGUGCUCUAAACACGAAGCGCUGAUGGCGCUGUCUGUGUCCCGUGCUUUCUUCACCCGUCCUUCCUAUGUCCCUCCGUCGGGAACCUUGUGGGGGAAAAGGAGGGAAGAAAGUAUCUGUGCACGGCAGCAACCAGCAGCAGCUGUUCGAGAGGCAAAGCCCAAAGAAGGGCAGUAUCUCCUGUGCUCUGAUUUGACUGCUUUUACCGUUCAGCUGAGAUAACUUGCUGCCAAAGUCUCAAGUAGCAGGCCAUCCAGCCUAGCAAAACACAAAGGCCCCACACAAAAGCCAAAAUCUUAUGUGCCUGCAUACUGCCAUCUGAGAAGGCAUCUUCUAAGAUCCCAGUGCUGCGCCAGCCCUGCCUGAUGAAGUUCAGAGGUUAAGACAGGCGACUGCUUAGAUAGAGAGGUACGAUGAGGGAUCAGGCCAUGUGUUAAUAGAAGUCAGAGAUUAUUUAAUUGGAAGCCUAACUUAAUCACCAUAUGUGUCUAGACUUUGGAAUAGAAACAAGGUCUACCCAUAUUCCAGGGAUUGUACACUAGACAUAGAAUUAUUUAUAAGAGGACUGUUUACAGGAUUAAUAAGAUGAUAUAUUAAAUUCCAUCUUCUUGACAUUCAUACAGUCAGGUCAGAUUUGGUGGUUGUUUUUUUUUUCUUUGACUUUAGGUUAGUUAACUGUCAAGACUCAAAUUUCAAACACAUGUAAAUUGCGCUGUAUC
rnacentral:lncRNA from 7 species